rnacentral:rRNA from 1 species
AGAGUUUGAUCAUGGCUCAGGAUGAACGCUGGCGGCGUGCUUAAUACAUGCAAGUCGAACGAGAUUUAUAGCAAUAUAAAUUUAGUGGCGAACGGGUGAGUAACGCGUUGGUGACUUGCCCCGAAGCUGGGGAUAUCAGUCCGAAAGGACUAUUAAUACCCAAUGUGGUGGACGGUUUCAGAACACUGUCUACUAAACGGAUUUAUUCGCUUCGGGAGAGACCUGCGUCCCAUCAGCUAGUUGGUGAGGUAACGGCCCACCAAGGCUAUGACGGGUAGGGGACCUGAGAGGGUGGCCCCCCACACUGGCACUGAAACACGGGCCAGACACCUACGGGUGGCAGCAGUAGGGAAUAUUGGUAAUCUGCGAAAGCGGGAACCAGCAACGCCGCGUGCACGAUGACGGCCUUCGGGUUGUAAAGUGCUUUUAAUGAGGAUGAGGAAGGACAGUACUCAUUGAAUAAGCCUCGGCUAACUACGUGCCAGCAGCCGCGGUAACACGUGGGAGGCGAGCGUUAUUCGGAUUUACUGGGUGCAAAGCGCGUGCAGGUGGUCGGGUAAGUUGGAUGUGAAAGCUCCUGGCUUAACUGGGAGAGGUCGUUCAAAACUGCCUGACUAGAGAGUGGUAGAGGGAGGUGGAAUUCCAGGUGUAGCGGUGGAAUGCGCAGAUAUCUGGAGGAACACAGUGGCGAAGGCGGCCUCCUGGACCAUUCCUGACACUCAGACGCGAAAGCUAGGGUAGCAAACGGGAUUAGAGACCCCGGUAGUCCUAGCCCUAAACGAUGUAGACUAGGCGUCGGAAGUUUAAUCACUUUCGGUGUCCAAGCUAACGCGAUAAGUCUACCGCCUGGGGGACUACGGCCGCAAGGUUAAAACUCAAAGG